rnacentral:rRNA from 1 species
GUGAAACUGAUCACCCUUAACACACCUGAUCUUGUCUGAUCUCAGAAGCUAAGCAGGGUCAGGUCUAGUUAGUGCUUGGAUGAUACUGAUCAGAGCAUGCAGAAAAUUUGCACA